UACGGAGGGUGCAAGCGUUAUCCGGAUUCACUGGGUUUAAAGGGUGCGUAGGUGGGCAAGUAAGUCAGUGGUGAAAUCUUCGAGCUUAACUCGGAAACUGCCAUUGAUACUAUUUGUCUUGAAUACUUUGGAGGUAAGCGGAAUAUGUCAUGUAGCGGUGAAAUGCUUAGAUAUGACAUAGAACACCAAUUGCGAAGGCAGCUUACUACACAGUUAUUGACACUGAGGCACGAAAGCGUGGGGAUCAAACAGG
rnacentral:rRNA from 1 species